GUUGCCUCUUCAAACCACAAGACCACAGUCCUGCCACAUCAAGUAGCUUGAGACCUAUACAAUACAGAUCAUCUUCAUAAGGGCCUGAUCCAAAGCCCAUUGAAGUCAAUCGGAGUCUACAGACGCUCCGCAAUUUACGCAAGCGUUCCGUUCCGGAAUGCCUUGCAUAAGUCGAAUUUCACGUAAAUCGGGAACGAUUGUAAAUAUGCAAUUAGCAGCUGGAGUAGAAGUAAAAGCAGAAAAUGUCAACUGUCAAGUGGCUCUGUUGAAAGACCCAUGAUGCUUCAAGCUAGGACAGAAAGACAAAAGCAUCUACCAACAUGGAUGAAGGUUGCAGGAUCUCUGCUUAAACAUUCCAUUAAUCUCCUUCAAGGAAUAAAUAUAGUCAAUACAUCCAGGAAUGAAGAAUCCACUAUCAAAACUGCAGUUUACUUUCACUGUAAAACUCUGUGUGGUAAGACUAUUCUCCAUCCCCAGCAGGCACUCUGGCUUCUAUCUCUAUUAUAGUCCAUGAUGUACAACCCUGUAUGUAAGUUAUAGCUUGCCAUAUCACACAAAAUCCUUGGCUCUCAAGAACAUGCAC